CAUUUCCUCCUCUCUCCUGUUCAAGAUGGGGAAGAAAGAUCCACAGACAGCUUGCUUGCUGCAAAGUUGUGAGAAGACGGUGGCGAGUCUCUCCUCAUCAGUUUCAAGGCCUUACAAGAAUGAAGGCUCUUUCUUUUAAGUUCGCCUGAGCGUUUCCAAUUGGCUGCAAGUGCACUGGGGUCGAGUUUCUCAAGAUGCUUUGGGCAAGGACGACUCAUAAACAUCUCAACAUAUGAAUUGACUGAAGGCCUAAAGCUGUGCUGCCGAGUUCAAAGAUGCCUCUCUGGAACAUGAUGCUCACUGCUCAACAACAAAGGUGUUUGCCCAGGUGAGUUCUGAUGUAUAAAGAAAUGUCUGACUCAAUAUCUAGACAAAUUGCAUAGUUUCCUUGUGAUGACACCCGCACAAGUCUUACGCCUUGGUUCAAUGCCAGAACCUGCAAAGGUGGACCCACUGGUGUUACCUUGGCAAUAAGGUGAAGACCUGUUGGGGUUACCAACAGUCUGAAUGGAAA